GAUAAUUAUAGUCCAUGACUGAUGACUAAGAGUGUUUGCAUUGCUGGGGUUUGCUUUUCAUAGCACAAAAUAGCUAGCCCUUUUAAGACGAAGGUAAAUAGAUUCUGCCUCCUCAAGCAUUUUGACAAUGGAAAACAUUUUGUUUGUCAGCACAUAUCGUCUAACACCCAUAGACAGAGAAACGAGCGAGAGAAAUCAGCAGAGAUUGUCAUAAUCAUGGGCAUGCCUAUUUUCAUUAAUGUUACUCAAAUGGGGUAAUAUCUUUCAAAAUUAAAGGCAUCAACAUCCGUUUAUAGCUGAAAUGUAAUAAGUUAAAAUACAAUAAAAGGCACCUGCUGAUUGGCAAAAUAAUUUUCAAUUUAGUCUGAUGAGGAACAUUUCCAUUUAAACUGUCAUUAAGUGGAGCAGCAUGAUUACAAAACAACUAUGCCCAUGGCACAGAACACAUUUCAAUGAAACAGGACCACAUUUGGUUGAAAGAAAUCCAAAAUGAAGGUAUACAUAUCAAUAGAGAACGUACUAAUUUCUCAUUUUGUUUCAUUGAAAUCAUUGGAGAACUGUAUUCCACUGAGAUCAUGUUCCCAUCAAUAAAGCAUCCCUUCUUUAAUGUCCUUAGGACUUCUGCUUUUGAUGCUGAAAUUUUUCAAUGCCCUCUAGGUAACCAAGAAUGGAAGAGAUUCAUGAGUGCACUUCAGAAGCUGUUUGGACCAUAA
ensembl:lncRNA